rnacentral:misc_RNA from 1 species
GUAGCAGGGGCCCGGUGACUAAGCAGAGCAUGAAGAAUAAAUUUUACUUCACCGUGGUAUGAGUAUAACAGAAGUUAAUUUCAGCGUCUAAAACCCAUUUUUCCGUCUUUCAUAAUGCCCAAGAGCGAGUCAAAAUCCCGCUCAAGAAGCAAGAGUGGAAGUCCGCGUCGAAAACACAAGAAAGAUCGCAGUUAUCGUCGGAAAACGCGGAGUAGAUCGCCGAGCUCGACGCCAUCUUCGUCGAAGAAAAGUCGCGAUCGUUCACCUCGCCGACGCUCGAGAUCACCGAGAAGAAAAAAGCGAUAUUCUAGGAGUAGGAGUCGUUCUCCUAGUGUUGAUAGAUUUGGCCGAUCGAUAGUGAAGAGAAAAGACGAUGACCCCGCUAAACGAAAGGAACUUGAGGAAGAGAGACUGCAAGAAAUGGAACGGCAAAGAAAAAUUCGAGCUACAGAGAAAGAAAAGAUGAUCAUUGAGGAAGAAACACAAAAGCGAGUUGAAGAACUUGUUGCUAAGAGAGUUGAGGAGCAACUUGCAAAGAGGAAAGAUGAAAUUGAUGCUGAAGUUAUGAAAAGAGUUGAAGAAGCCAAGAGUGUUAUGGAGAAACAGAUGGUUGAAGAGUUUGAAAAACGACGACAGGAGCAACUUGAAGAACAGCAGAUGAAAGAGAUUCCGGUGGCGAUUCAGUUCAGAAGGAAAACAUUGUCAAGAACAGUCAGUCUUUCCAAGCAUUUGGAUUUAAACCUUCUUAACUCUCUCUUGUGCCGAUAAAUCCUUGAACUUGAACUUGACAUUCAAACAUUCAGAGUUUUACAAAAGACUGCAAUCUUUCAAGAACUGCGCAAUUUUUGAAAUUGCUCAAAGUUUAGGAACUUUCAUCUAAUGGAAAAAUUAUUUAGCGCACCUCUCGUAGGAACAUUCCACCUUGAGCCACCUCUAAUAAGUGAAACUUUCUGGGAGAGUUCAAGUCUUCACAGACUCUGAAGGAUUUCUUCGCAGAGCCUUUGCUUGGAGCAUUUCAUAGGAAUUGUUAGGCGGAAAUGUGAAGAAGAGCGUCGUAAGAUUCAUCUUCUUGAGAACAAAGUUGAUGAACUUCAAAAACAACUUGAUGAUGCCAAUCAAAAACUGG